rnacentral:rRNA from 1 species
AUACGUAGGGGGCGAGCGUUGUCCGGAAUGAUUGGGCGUAAAGGGCGCGUAGGCGGCGUGGUAAGUCUGGAGUGAAAGUCCUGCUUUCAAGGUGGGAAUUGCUUUGGAUACUGCCGCGCUUGAGUGCAGGAGAGGUUAUCGGAAUUCCCGGUGUAGCGGUGAAAUGCGUAGAGAUCGGGAGGAACACCAGUGGCGAAGGCGGGUAACUGGACUGCAACUGACGCUGAGGCGCGAAAGUGUGGGGAGCAAACAGGAUUAGAUACCCUGGUAGUCCACACUGUAAACGAUGAAUGCUAGGUGUAAGAGGUAUCGACCCCUUUUGUGCCGGAGUCAACACAAUAAGCAUUCCGCCUGGGGAGUACGGCCGCAAGGUUGAAACUCAAAGGAAUUGACGGGG